UACGGAGGGGCUAGCGUUGUUCGGAAUUACUGGGCGUAAAGCGCACGUAGGCGGAUUAGAAAGUUGGGGGUGAAAUCCCGGGGCUCAACCCCGGAACUGCCUUCAAAACUCCCAGUCUGGAGGUCGAGAGAGGUGAGUGGAAUUCCGAGUGUAGAGGUGAAAUUCGUAGAUAUUCGGAGGAACACCAGUGGCGAAGGCGGCUCACUGGCUCGAUACUGACGCUGAGGUGCGAAAGCGUGGGGAGCAAACAGG
rnacentral:rRNA from 1 species